CCUACGGGGGACAGCAGUAGGGAAUCUUCCACAAUGGGCGAAAGCCUGAUGGAGCAACGCCGCGUGGGUGAAGAAGGUCUUCGGAUCGUAAAACCCUGUUGUUAGAGAAGAAAGUGCGUGAGAGUAACUGUUCACGUUUCGACGGUAUCUAACCAGAAAGCCACGGCUAACUACGUGCCAGCAGCCGCGGUAAUACGUAGGUGGCAAGCGUUAUCCGGAUUUAUUGGGCGUAAAGGGAACGCAGGCGGUCUUUUAAGUCUGAUGUGAAAGCCUUCGGCUUAACCGGAGUAGUGCAUUGGAAACUGGGAGACGUGAGUGCAGAAGAGGAGAGUGGAACUCCAUGUGUAGCGGUGAAAUGCGUAGAUAUAUGGAAGAACACCAGUGGCGAAGGCGGCUCUCUGGUCUGUAACUGACGCUGAGGUUCGAAAGCGUGGGUAGCAAACAGGAUUAGAUACCCUUGUAGUC
rnacentral:rRNA from 1 species